UACGGGGGGGGCAAGCGUUGUUCGGAAUUACUGGGCGUAAAGGGCUCGUAGGCGGCCAACUAAGUCAGACGUGAAAUCCCUCGGCUUAACCGGGGAACUGCCUCUGAUACUGGAUGGCUUGAGGUUGGGAGAGGGAUGCGGAAUUCCAGGUGUAGCGGUGAAAUGCGUAGAUAUCUGGAGGAACACCGGUGGCGAAGGCGGCAUCCUGGACCAAUUCUGACGCUGAGGAGCGAAAGCCAGGGGAGCAAACAGG
rnacentral:rRNA from 1 species